AUAUUAUAUUUUGAUUAUUAGUUACACUAUUUAUCGCGCCUAAAAGUGUAGUGUAUACUAGUCUGGGAGCCGUUUUUCUUGUGGCGAUUUUUUAAAUGAAUUAUCUACGUCAAUAUUGAACCCACGGGGGGCGCCUCACCCCUGCCUUCCCCAUGGACAGUCCAGCAAUGUCUGCUUCCACUCCCCCUGUGUUUCCAGACCCAGAGAGUGAAGCAAAGCCAGAAUCAACCACCACACUAGAUAAAUAGCCAUUACUGUGACGAUGGAAUGCUGUCAGCGAGCAGCAUGGAAGACGCAGAGAGAGUGGUGGUCAGGUGGUGGUGGAGACAGGGAGAAUAUGUGGCCUGGAGAUUAACAAUCAGAACACCAAUAAUCUUGUGACCUCCAUGCACCCUUCCUAAUGUCAAUAAAGUUGUCUUAUCAUGCCCAAAAUUGUCUUCUACUGCAAUUACUAAUAAACCAUAUUAUUAUUA